ensembl:ncRNA W03D2.15 ncRNA
GUGAUUCUUCUCUUUUUGUGAGCGACUGGUGGUUGCUCUAUUCCUGGGUGACUGGUUGUUACCCCUGCUUUUUUUUUUGUUUUUUCUUCAUUAUAUUUUUGCUAAUUCAUCAAAAUAACACAGAGCUGCACUCAAACAGGUAAACAGGUAGCAAGCUGCUCCCUCACCGACCCACAAAAAGGCUUACGAAUCAUUCAAACGAACAUUCCGAAAUUCUCGGAGGGAAAUGGAGCUCAACUUCGGAAGUGGCUGCAGAAUUACACCAAAGUUUUUUUCGACUGGGAAUUCCAAAGGACACUGGAGCACGUCUACUUCUGUUCUGCCUCGAGAGCGCGACAAAAACUCAUUUUGAAGGCCUUGAUUCUCAAAGUGCAGACCUGGGAGCUAGCUUCACAACAAUUGACCGAUGCUUUCAACAUGCCAGGAAAAAUCGAAAUCACUCAAUGUGAGUUGUCAGAUCUGCAAACUCCGAGUGAAACGAGCCGAAAGAAUUGAUCGACUUCGAAAGCAGAAAAAGGAAGAAAAAAUAAGGAAAUCGACGAUGACGUCCUAGUGGCGGCAAUGACAAAAUUGUUGGAUACAGCAGUCAUUCAAACCUUAUAGUUCAGUUCUAUUGUUUACUAUUCACUCUACUACUAUUAUUGCAUUUUUUAUCUGUGUUUGUAGAGUAGGGGUCCUUUUUUAACCAAAUGUAUUAAAUAAAAAAUUUAGCAAUAAUAAACAUAUAAA